rnacentral:rRNA from 1 species
AUUGAACGCUGGCGGCAGGCCUAACACAUGCAAGUCGAGCGGAUGAAGGGAGCUUGCUCCUGGAUUCAGCGGCGGACGGGUGAGUAAUGCCUAGGAAUCUGCCUGGUAGUGGGGGAUAACGUCCGGAAACGGGCGCUAAUUCCGCAUACGUCCUGAGGGAGAAAGUGGGGGAUCUUCGGACCUCACGCUAUCAGAUGAGCCUAGGUCGGAUUAGCUAGUUGGUGGGGUAAAGGCCUACCAAGGCGACGAUCCGUAACUGGUCUGAGAGGAUGAUCAGCCACACUGGAACUGAGACACGGUCCAGACUCCUACGGGAGGCAGCAGUGGGGAAUAUUGGACAAUGGGCGAAAGCCUGAUCCAGCCAUGCCGCGUGUGUGAAGAAGGUCUUCGGAUUGUAAAGCACUUUAAGUUGGGAGGAAGGGCAGUAAGUUAAUACCUUGCUGUUUUGACGUUACCAACAGAAUAAGCACCGGCUAACUUCGUG